rnacentral:rRNA from 1 species
CAGUCGCCGCGGGAAUACGAAGGGUGCAAGCGUUAAUCGGAAUUACUGGGCGUAAAGCGUGCGUAGGCGGUUUGUUAAGUCUGUUGUGAAAUCCCCGGGCUCAACCUGGGAAUGGCAAUGGAUACUGGCAAGCUAGAGUGUGUCAGAGGAUGGUGGAAUUCCCGGUGUAGCAGUGAAAUGCGUAGAUAUGCGGAGGAACACCGAUGGCGAAGGCAGCCCCCUGGGCCAACACUGACGCUCAUGCACGAAAGCGUGGGGAGCAAACAGGAUUAGAUACCCCUGUAGUCCCUGUCUCUUAUAA